GGCCCGCUUGCCGAACUGGCGCUUGAGGCGUUCGUUUCCCGACACGUCGGGAAUAGGCGGCGGGCAUCAC
rnacentral:ncRNA from 1 species